AACGCAGUAUCUGGCUACAUCACCGAUCCCUCAAGGAUGGUCAUUACAUGGACUGGAUUCUCUGACAAGCUGCCACAUGGAGUUGUAUAUGCCCAUGCAAUCAAAUCAUACUCAAUUGCUAUCGGGAACUAUCCUCAUGGUCAAAAUACCAUGGCAUGGACAAAGAUUGGUGAACGCACAUCGUUUCAAGCUGAGGGGCUUCCCAUCAAGACUGGAGAAGUGUACUAUGUCACAAUCAAAGCUGAAGAUCAUGUUGGUCAUACGACCGAGAGUAUUUCUCCUGAAGUAGUAGGCGAUCUUA